CCACUCCCUCCCCCACCCACAACCAACUCAAUCUGUCAAACUUGUUAGUGGAAAACAACUUUUUAAAGUCGAGUGCUUGCCUUUGUUUUGUUUUGUUUGAUUCAGAAAAUCUGUCCAGUCAUUUACAGAUACCGAUUGAUGUAGGUGCUGCAACAGAAUAGUUCCUUUAUUUUAUUCAAGUUUGUAAACAGAUGGAUUUUCAGCGCUGUUCUCGCCCUGAUUCUGCAAGUUCCAUGAAAAUAAGCCAAUCUUUAUGCAACUCAAAAUAAUAAAAAGCUUCUGAAAUAACUGCACAGUCAAGUUUUGUAUCAUUGCAUUAGGUGAUGCUGUACAGCAUUGGUUCACGUAGUUCACGUACCUCAAGCCAUUUAAAUUUAAGAUUAUUUCUCAAAUACCCCAAGAAAUUGUUUUAAAUGAUACAAACUUUGGAAUUUUUAACAUAGGGAUGUCGGAACAUAGGUUUGUAACUGUGAACUUCACUUGAAAUAUCCAAGUAUUGACUGUAAUAGAAAACUUGUUAUAGAAAAUAUUGUUGUAAAUAUUGUCCAUACUAAAACACAUUUUUCCAUCGCUUCUAUUUUGCUUUUGAGCCAUACUCUGUCGUUGUGUCUAUUGUAUCAAGGCCAUAGAAGUAUAAUUUCUUCUCUUUUUAUUGGUUUUAUAUUCCACUGCACAUAAUAAUAAUUAUUAUAUAGCACAGGAACUGGUUUAUUCAAGAAGAUAUUGUAACAAAUUUUAAUAAUCCUGUUAAGGAAAUGUUUUAAGAAAAUAAGGAUGAGCAGUCUUAAUAAUAUCAGGGGCCAGUUGUGUUGGUUUAUUAGCCUCCAGUGAUUAACAAUGGUAAGGGCUGGCAUUUGUUUUUGCUAUUUGUCAAUAUCACUAUGAGGCUGUGCAAGUCUCGCACUUUUCGUUCAAUUUCUGGAACCACUUUGGUCCCACAUUCAUUGCUUUAAGGCGGAAGGAAACAAACUUGUGCACUUUAAUGAGUCCCAAUCUUCCAAGACUUGCAGUCUAUAAACCAAGGAAGAAACUAUAACUCAGAAUUUUAUUCAUUUUUGAUUAUUUAUCAUCAUACAUGUAGCCUUUUGAUUUGUCAAUAUAACCAUCCACAAAAACUCGCUGUGCAUGGUUUGUUUGUAAUUUAAAUUUAAACUAUCAACUGUGUGAUUUGUACGACCAACUUUCAUUCUUGAGCAGCCAUCUUGUAUUUUUCCCAUACAAAAAAUAGUCAGGUUCCUCUUCAUAUUCGAUGGGAUUCAGUGAGCCACAGAUGCUAUUGCACAUGUGGAACUAGACUGCCAUGAUGGCAGACUUUAGUUCACUUUGUAAAUUAUCUACUCAAAGAAUCUUGGUGCUGAUAAAUCAGGCCUUUACCCUUUUAAAAAUUGAUUGUUUUAAUGAGAACAAAAGAUCAAAAAGGUAUCUUAAAAGAUGAAAAUGUCAAAUACCUCUAUUUUCUGUUUUUUAGUUUGUGUUUGUGCAAUAUUUUAGUAUGUCUAGGGUUUGUUGUCCAACUUAUACUAAGAGAACAAUCUGCUAUUUUAUAAAAAAAAAUGAAACAAAAAAGGUAAUUAUUUCAUACAAAACAAUUUAAUAGAUUAACUAGUGAUGGGCAUGUGAUAUUUUAAGAUUAUCAUGAUAAUUGUUUUAAAUGGUUAUCUCUAAUCACUUGGGAUUUAAGAGGCAUUGAAGCAUUACUAGUGGAAAAUCCAAACAGCUCAGUUUUUGUUUGAAAAGCAGUAGGCCUCCUAUACACAAAGCCUUUUCUAAGCGUAGUGAUGUCUAUUGCCACAGUUUUUAUACUGUUUUGUUUGUUGGUGGAGUCCAGUCCUAUUAAUUAUCGAACUGGAAAUUUCAUCAAAUUCGGUAGGCACUUUUGGGAAUAUUUAUUCAAUUAGCAAGUUUUGUUUUAUCCUAUUUUGUGCACAUUCAUGUUCUUAAGAUUUUGAAACAAGUUUGUUGAAACUUGAUCAAUGUAUUAUUUCAGUUUAAAAUUGGUACUACCUCAAUACUUUAAAACGGUAAGACUUCUAGGUUAAAGAUUUUCCCCAGUGAGUUCCACAGAUGUAGACUAUGUUGUUCCCCAAUUAGUUCACGCUCAGUAGUUUUCUAGCUGAACUUGAGUGAUAUAUUUUCUCAUUGGGUAUUCAAACUAUUAAAAAAAAAAAAUAGGCCUACUUAAUAAAUAUGUCAUUAAAAACAUGCCACAUAAAAGUCUUUGGUACCACAUGAAAGCUAGUUUUGAAUGUAAACAUGAAAGUUAAUAUGGACGAGAGGUACUUCUAGGGUUUGAAACUUUGCAUGGUGGGAGUAUAAUAAGUUGAGGUUUGUGGGUAGCACCAUGUGUAAAUAAAUGUUGAGUUGUGUGGGUUCUGAAAAGAACCUGUUAGUUCUGGUUCUGAUCAGAACCAAGACUACUCAAAAGAGAUUACACAUGGGGCUGCUGCAAACUUCACCUGAUGAGAGGGACAUGAAUGAGGUUUAUGGUUGUACAUUAAGCUUGUGAAAAUAAGCUUACCUGCAUGAGAGAUUGUCGAAUACCAAAUAGCAGCGUGCACGAGUGCGAGGUUACCAAAUCAAAAUAACGUGCGAGGUGUACCACAGGAGGUCUACAUGGAUGAGGAGAGUGAGGCAUGGUACCAUCAAGUGAGGGUUAUGUAAUUGAGAGGUGGAUAAAAUGUAUCUGAAUAAGAGAAGGGUGUGGUACAACAUAAAAGGUGUUAUGAUCCGGAGGUACCAAUUUGUCGUGAGGCUUGCAUGUAUGAGGGAUAGUCAUAGCUCCGCACGAACAACUUACUCAGACGAGAGGUGUUGGCCGUGGACAUUCCUCAUAGUAACUUAUGAAAGCUUACAUAAUGAGCUUUUGUUUGAGGUACUUAGAGGUAUAUGAAAGCUUACAUCAGCUUACAAGUGUUUUAGGUACCACAUACAAGUUGUUGUUGAGAGAUAGUCAUGGUGGAGCCUCUGGGUGAGAGGUAUGUACCUCAUGAAAGAACGCAUGAGAUGUAGUAUGAAUGGCAAAAGAUAGAGUAGGCUAGGGACAUAAUGUGAUAGGUUAGUUUCGAGAGCCCAUGAGAAAUAACGGAGAAGAGGUGGUCAUGGUACCUCAUGAGUGCAUACAUGGAUGAGAGGUUGUCAUGGUAACAUGUAAAAGCUGUCAAGGAUGAGAGGACGUCAUGAAACUAGUGGAAAAUAAUUACACCGAUGAGACUUCGUAUUGAAUAAUUUUAAAUAAAUGUAAACGAGAGGUACAUUAGUACACUUGAAUGCUUAUGGUGAGAGGUAUAGCACUUGAGGUAUAGCUUAGCCACAUGGAACCCAAUGUGAUUGAGCGCGAAUCAUAAUUUCACAGAAAAGCUUAUCACAAUGCGAGGCAGAUACUACAGGAAAGCUUACCGAUAUGGAGGUGCAUUGUGGAAGCUCAGAUCAACAAGAGGUAUAGCCGUAAUGAGGUUGAAAUGUAUGAGAGGUACUCAUUGAACAAUGUGAAAGCUAAUAGAUGAAGUACUCAUUGAACAAUGUGAAAGCUAAUGGAUGAGGUACUCAUUGAACAAUGUGAAAGCUAAUGGAUGAGAAGGGGUUGUUAAUUAUUUAAAUCUUCUUCUGAAAUACUUUGAAAGUUGGGGAAGUUACAUUCAAAGACUCCGCAAAUAUGUAAUCCUUAAGUAUUCAUCAUUUUGAAUACAGCAAUCAAAAUUAGCCUGUAUGAAUGUGCACAAAGUUCCCGACUUUUUGUUUGUGCUUUCAUAAAAAUUUGAAGAAAUCUAUGAAGCUUGUCUGUUGUAUGUGUUUGGUUUAAAACUAGACGAGUUUUAUUUAUUCACUCCGAAAAAAAUGAUGAUGUGUUUUCCCUUCUAACCAAUCAACUCUUUAUAAAUAACUGAUUAUUAUAUUAUUAAAACCAAUGGUUAGAAAUCCAGGCUUGAAAUUAGUGCAGUGCCCCCUGGUCUUGGCCUUAGUGUCCCAUCAAAAGUUUCCCAUUGACUUUUAAGAUAUUCCAAUGGAAGUGCCCUUUUGCAAAAUAAAAAUGGCCUUGCCCUUUCAAAGAUGAAAUUCCAGGCCUGGAAAUCCACCAUUUGAAACGAAUUUUGUGUAAAAAGGGUAAUUUUUUAUACCACAGCUCGUGCUUGGGCUAUGUUUGCAUGUUGAUAUUGUAAGAAAUGUUAACUGAGAUUUCAAGAUCCUUUUCGCUGUAAUGUUGAGAGGGGAAGUUUAACCUUAUGGCCACCCCUCUGGAUCAGAAUUUGGGGAAUAAAAAAGCUUUGAGCAAAAGAAGAAAGCAAUUCUUCUCACAAACUUGUAUUCCAUGUCUUUCGAAGAAUCAUACAUGUGAUAUUAGCAAAACAUUUUGUGAAAAGUUGUGUUGGUUUAGGCGUAGAUGCUGGUUGGUUUAAGGUUUCUGCUCAGUUUUCAUAAUAAUUAUGGUAAUUGUAAUAAUAUUAUGUACACAUUUUAUGUUUUCUUAUAUUAACAGAAGUAUAAACUAAUACACCAACAGA